rnacentral:lncRNA from 1 species
UGAGGUUUGUUAGUUUUUUUUUGUUUUUUUUAGUGUUGAGUGCUUGUUUUUCAGGUAUUCCAAAAGGAAAAAAAUAAAAUGCAUAGACUGGGUCAAGUCGAUGAUGAGAAUAAUGACCAUAAUGAGGUCCAUGAUAAAUUUAUAGAGUUCCAACAACAGUUAGACGAACAGACUGCUGCACUCAAACAAACAAAUGUCAUACUUCGAAC